CAGUAGCCGCGGGAAUACGAAGGGGGCUAGCGUUGCUCGGAAUUACUGGGCGUAAAGGGCGCGUAGGCGGACAGUUCAGUCGGGGGUGAAAGCCCGGGGCUCAACCUCGGAAUUGCCUUCGAUACUGGCUGUCUUGAGUAUGAGAGAGGUGUGUGGAACUCCGAGUGUAGAGGUGAAAUUCGUAGAUAUUCGGAAGAACACCAGUGGCGAAAGCGACACACUGGCUCAUUACUGACGCUGAGGCGCGAAAGCGUGGGGAGCGAACAGGAUUAGAGACCCCCGUAGUCCCUGUCUCUUAUAC
rnacentral:rRNA from 1 species